rnacentral:lncRNA from 1 species
GGUCCACGAGGGAGGGCCAUGGGAGAGGCUGCCGAGAGCAGGGCUGGCAACCUGUUGGGUCCCUGGCAGCCUAGCCCCCAGCGUGGCCCAGAAGGACCUCCAACAGAUUAAGGUUUAAACAGAAGAGGACUGGACAAUCUCAACAGAUACAGAAAAGGCGUGUAUGCAGAGGGAACCUGUUACAGGCUGAGCUGCGUUGCCCUCAAGUUCAAGCCUUAACGUCGCAGCCCUGGUCCCUCCGCCCUCCGCUGGCCUCCCCCCCAGGAGGCCCCCACCAACAGGGUCCCACUGAAUAAUUACCCUCGGGAUGUGAUGGGCUGACACUGCCUCCUGACGUCGACGGCUGAGAAAGAUGCUCUUUUUCUAUCCCUCAAACGGUCAACUUUUUCGUUUGUUUUUGUUUGUUUUUGCUUUUUUUAAGGCCGCACCCCAGACACAUAGAGGUCCCCAGGCUAAGGGUUGCAUUGGAGCUACAGCUGCCUGCCUACACCACAGCCUCAGCAACGCCAGAUCCAAGUCGCGUCUGAGACCUACACCACAGCUCACAGCAAUGCCGGAUCCUUAACUCACUGAGCAAGGCCAGGGAUCGAACCUGUGGAUGCUAGUCAAAUGGGUUAACCGCUGAGCCAUGCCGGGAAUUCCUGGUCGGUCAAAUUUCCUCACUGCUCUUUCUUUUUCAAAGUCCUGUGUCUGCUUGGGGUGACCUCACGGUAAUUUUCCUAUGGAAGGAGGCUUCUGAGAGGAUAAGGACUCUGACACCUGUUUAGAGAGAGGGGUUCCUGAUUCUGGGGUCCGAGGAGGGCUUCCGAGGGUCUGGGGACCACCUGCAAUUGUCCAGCAAACAACACAUCCACGCACACGGAUAGGCAUCUAUUGUCCCCCAAGAAAGGGAGUCGCUAGUUUUCAGCAGAAGUUCAAGGGGAAACUGUAUCCCAGAGAAGAGUAGCAAAUGUUCACGGAGAAGCAGUGGAUACCCGAGGUCCCUGGCCUGGAGCUCAUGACCCCUUAGGGUCUAUGGAGACAAUUCAGGAAGCCCAGGAGCUGAGACCAGGUCAAUUUCAAUCUUUAGUUCAUAGCUAUUUCUCCACUCUAUUAAAACCGUUGCAGGUAUCUCGAAAUAUUCCUAGCACUCUUCAUUCCUCAGAAAUUACGGUGUCUCUAUCACAUCUUUCUGGACUCCACGUUGGUACUCCCCUCCUGUAAGGGAUAAAAACCCCUAUAGGACAAUGUGGGGUGGGGAGGGCUCUUCUUCCGCCUCCCAGCUGUCCUGGGAGCUGUUGCUUUCCUGUCAUAAAGACUUCGCUUGCUUAAAAAAAAAAAAUCCAGAAAUCGUGGUGGUUUUAAACCAGCAACUAUGCUGUCUUUAAUGCAUUAAUAAAGAAGCUCAUAUACCC